ensembl:snRNA U2 U2 spliceosomal RNA
AUUGCUUCUCAGCCUUUUGGCUAAGAUCAAGUGUAGGAUCUGUUCUUAUCAGUUUAAAAACCCAGAAUUCCAAGAAUUCCACUUCUUUUUUCUCAAAUGUGAUUAACCCAAUGAGAAAUAUAGGAAAUGUGAUUUUCUAAUAUUAUUGUUCAUAUGGAUUGUAAUCUUUUUUUUUUAGGGGAAACCCCCU